rnacentral:rRNA from 1 species
UACAGAGACUGCGAGCGUUAUUCGGAAUCACUGGGCGUAAAGGGUGCGUAGGCGGGUCUUUAAGUCAGGGGUGAAAUCCUGGAGCUCAACUCCAGAACUGCCCUUGAUACUGAGGAUCUUGAGUUCGGGAGAGGUGAGUGGAACUGCGAGUGUAGAGGUGAAAUUCGUAGAUAUUCGCAAGAACACCAGUGGCGAAGGCGGCUCACUGGCCCGAUACUGACGCUGAGGCACGAAAGCGUGGGGAACAAACAGG